GGAGUAACCCCCGGGUGUGAGCUCUUCUCUCCCUUGGCACUGACUGGCGUCGUGUCCCCCAGAGAUACCCACGUGGAACCUCAGAAUGGGACCUUGUUUGGAAAAGGGAUCGCGCGGAUGUGACUGAGUCAAGGAUUAGAGAUGACAUCAUCCGGGACCUAGAGGGGCUCUAAAUCCAGUGACUGGGGUCCUUAGAGAAAGAUGGGAGACACAGGCUCAGAGGGGGCGGUGCCGAGGAGCCACGCGACGGCAGGGCAGAGAGUGGUGAGCCCCUGAACGCCAAGAAUAGCCCGGAGCCACCAGCAGCCGGGACAGAGGCCGCGGAUGGUGUCUCCCCAGGAGCCCCGAGAAGGAUCGAACCCAGCCAACCCCUUGGUCUUGCACUUCUGGCCUCCAGAACCGGGAGAGAAUCCCUUUGUGUUGCACGAAGCCGCCUGCUUUGUGGUGGUUUGUUAGCGCAGCCCCAGGAAACGCCCUUCCCCGCACAAGUACUGAGCGCCUACUGUGCGUCAGGAGCCCUGCGGCCUCCUGGAAGCGUGAUCAAGGCCCGACGCGUGGCGCGGCACUGCUUUGCUCUACGUGGCAGGGACGGGGCUCCGGAGGGGAGAGCUCGAGACCCCCUGGACUGCCAGGAGCCCCGUGCUGGCUCUCGGCGAGCGGAGGGGGCACCCCGUGGCCGGCCCGCGGGUGCUGAGUACCUCCGAGACCCUCCUCGGGAUCCCAACGCACCUGGUCUCCCGCUGGCCAUCAGCUACCCUCCCAGCGCUCUGCGGACGCCCAGCCCUUGGCUCUUAAAAUUAAACGCCGUCCUUCCACUGAGCCAAGGAAGUUCGCCCGGGAAGACCUAUAUACAUUAUAGAACAAAAAUGAAAAUUUCAAAAGAUGCUUCCAGGGCGAUGUAGGAAAGCCGUAAGACAGUGAUUAUGGUGCCAGAGACCCUGCUGGAGCCCGGUCCCCAAGGAGGCCCAGGCACCUUGAAUGUAUCACGGUAAUGGCUGAGGACUAAAGGG
rnacentral:lncRNA from 1 species